AAAAGAGCCGUUAGGCUCUUUCAGAGUGUAGACAAAUACAUUUUUCAAUGCAAACAUGCUUUGAAGCUCUUCAAAUAUCAAUUCAAUGGCUUUGGUUUGCGAGCGAAGCGAGCCUUAAUCCGAGACUUUCCACCGUGAUAAAAGUGGCAGAAACCCCAUUGUUUCUGCCACUCGGAAGAUUUGAGACCUUAGGCUCAAAUCUUAGGCAUGGAAUUCCGAAGGAAGUCGCUGCCGUCCGCAUCACCUAAGGAAAGUCUCAUAAAAGACUUUGUCUUCAAGUUGAAAAGAGCCUAACGGCUCUUUUUC
rnacentral:ncRNA from 1 species